rnacentral:lncRNA from 1 species
GCUUUUCCCUCUCCCCAGGGCACCCUCGGGGUGGGGCGGGGGCGUCUUUGGUCUGUAUCUGUGUCCUCACAUCGCCUCCUCUCUCUGAUUCCCACCGUUCUCCCCUCUGGUCACCUUUCCCUUUCUCCCUGCCUCGCUCAUCAGUGGUGUCUCUAACACUCCCUGGGCCCUGCGUGGGCACCGGCACUGUGAUGAAGACGGCCAGGACCCGCCCCCUGAGCUCAGGGAGGUGCUGCCCCGCUGCUGAGUGUGCGCCUCCCAGGGAACAGAGGAGGGAGCAGGAGCGUCAAAGGGGAGUCGGAAGCUUUCUGCAAAGGCGCGUGAAGGAAGGAUUCAGACCGAAGACAUGGGCCCUGUAACUACGCAAACAACACAAAUUAUUCUCCCUCAUCCCAGAUAACCAUCUCCUGUACCUUCCUUAAUUCUACAGAUCACUCAAGAUAAAGGUAAUUUUUAUCACAGCUGUUUCAUCUCUAUUUCACCCUCCUUCCAGGUAUCUUUAUCCUGUUUGAUAUUAUUGCAUGGUAUUUUAAUAUAGCUAUUUGCAACAGGAUCCUAGAAAUAUGUAUUAAAUCAGUGUUGGUCACAGCAGACCUUUAAGUAGUGGCUUUUUUCCUAGUGCAUUACUUAGUAAUAACAAAACUUUCUGGCCCAGAAAUUGUGAGCUAAUUAUCAUGUACAUAGUCAAAUGGUAAGCACAUUCCCAAAUUGGGAUUUUAAGCUUUUUCAGAAGAGUCCCCAGGAAUUUCAUUUUCUUUAAAAAUGUGCUUAUUACUUAUUCAUUAAGCAGAUUUUUCUUUUUUUUCUUUUUUUUUUAAUUUUAUUUUAUUUUUGCCAAAAUAUUUAUUUUAUAGUUUUGCCAAAUAUCAAAAUGAAUCCACCACAGGUAUACAUGUGUUCCCCAUCCUGAACCCUCCUCCCUCCUCCCUCCCCAUACCAUCCCUCUGAGUCGUCCCAGUGCUCUAGCCCCAUGCAUCCAGUAUCAUGCAUAGAACCUGGACUGGCAUCUCGUUUCAUACAUGAUAUUUUACAUGUUUCAAUGCCAUUCUCCCAAAUCUUCCCACCCUCUCCCUCUCCCACAGAGUCCAUAAGACUGUUCUAUACAUCAGUGUCUCUUUUGCUGUCUCGUAUACA